UACGUAGGGUGCGAGCGUUAAUCGGAAUUACUGGGCGUAAAGCGUGCGCAGGCGGCUUUGCAAGACAGAUGUGAAAUCCCCGGGCUCAACCUGGGAACUGCAUUUGUGACUGCAAGGCUAGAGUACGGCAGAGGGGGAUGGAAUUCCGCGUGUAGCAGGGAAAUGCGUAGAUAUGCGGAGGAACACCAAUGGCGAAGGCAAUCCCCUGGGCCUGUACUGACGCUCAUGCACGAAAGCGUGGGGAGCAAACAGG
rnacentral:rRNA from 1 species